GGAAAGUUGCAAAGAACUUUGAAGAGAGAGUUCAACAGGGCGUGAAACCGCUUAGAAGCAAACAGGUGGUGCUGACAUUACGUUUGUCCGGAUUCAGCCGGUCUGACGGUGGAUUGUUGGCAUGUCGAUCGCAAGACGAUGUGCUGGCCGCUUCCUUCCGCCUAGGACUGGUGCACUUUCGGCAGACUGCGUCACGACCGACAACUCGCGUCCGGCAGAAGUCUGGUUGGCUGCAGACAGUGGGCUUCGGCUACGCUGUGCCUCACCUUCCAGUACAGACCCGGUAUGUGUUGUCGGGAAUUGGCCGUGCCCGCUACGCUCAUUCUUGUGCUGCUUCAUGGUCGGUCGGACUGUGGUGUGGAGCUUGCUCUGCGCUGCGACUCCCGGCUGUGACUGCGGUGCUCGUUGAGUGGCACUGAUGGUCAGUGGCGUCCGCGUCAGUCUCCCACCUGACCCGUCUUGAAACACGGACCAAGGAGUCUAACAUGUGCGCAAGUCAUGGGGUGGAAAACCCAAAGGCGUAAUCAAAGUAAAGGUCGGCUCUUGUCGAUCGAGGUGAGAUCCUGGUCGUUCGCGGCUGGGCGCAUCACUGUCCCAUCGCAUCGGCUUGCCCGAGCGGUGGAGAAAGAGCGUACAUGUUGGGACCCGAAAGAUGGUGAACUAUGCCUGAGCAGGAUGAAGCCAGAGGAAACUCUGGUGGAGGUCCGUAGCGGUUCUGACGUGCAAAUCGAUCGUCAGACUUGGGUAUAGGGGCGAAAGACUAAUCGAACCAUCUAGUAGCUGU
rnacentral:rRNA from 1 species